ACGUGGCUAACAAUGGGACAAUAACCAAAGGGUAGCGAAACCGCGAGGUCCAAGCAAAUCCCCAUAAAGUUGUUCUCAGGUUCGGAUUGUAGUCUGCAACUCGACUACAUGAAGCUGGAAUCGCUAGUAAUCGUAGAUCAGCAUGCUACGGUGAAUACGUUCCCCGGGUCUGUACACACCGCCCGU
rnacentral:rRNA from 1 species